AAUGGAGGGACUCCUCCCCUUGCCUGGCCCAGGCUUUGUGAUUCACAUGCCCCACCCCACAAGCCUGUGGGCACAGCACUACGUGACGUGUGAGAACGCCACGAUGACCCCACCUCAGUGUGCACACUGGGGUUUUGAGCUUUGGGCUCUCAGGUCAGGCUGCCGUGAUCAAAAUCCCGAUUCUGCCAUUUGCUAGCAGCGUGACAGGCAAGUUGCUUAACCUCUGGAUAUCUGUUUUCUCGUCACUAAAACGGACAUGACUAAUAGUGCCUAUAUUAUGGGGCUUUGAGAGAAUGAAAUAGCCCAGGGAAAGUGCACAGAAGGGUGCCUGAUAGAAGUAAGGGCUCAACGGGAGCUGUGUGUGACUAUCAAUCUACUUUAAUGAUCAUAAUAACCUGAAGGAUAGGUCGGCACUCUCAUCUCCAAGCAGGAAGCUGAGGCUCAGGGAAGUUUUAAACUGUUCUAGGUUCACAGUGUUUAGGGGCCACAGCCAGGAUUCUAACCCAGGGCUAAAGGACCCCAAAGUCCAAGAUCUUCUCACUGAGCCAUGGAGGGAAUAGACCUAGAGUCUAGGAGGGCAGCCAUGUAUCACACUGGUGACAACCCAGGGCAGUGUAAACUUUCCUGACAAAUGUCCCUACACCUGGGAUCAUGGUCAGAUGCUGGGAAAGCUCCAGGAAGGGUGCUGCAUGAGCUCGCACGAGGCUGUGUGGUGGCAGUGGGACUGAACUGGGCCUUGAAGGACGAGCAGGACUUGAGUGACAGAAUGAAGAUGAAAGAGGGCAUCCUCCUUCCAUCUCUUAAGGCUGGGGCCUGUGUGUCAGCCCCAGAAGCAGGGCUUGGCUGAUGGCUAGAAGGGGCAUCCAUAAGGCACAGAGGUGCCUGGAGUGAACGAGCUGCACUGGAGAGUCAGGGAAGAAAACAAAACCAGAUUCGUUGCCAGCCAAGGGGGCGCUCCAACCACAGAGGCCACUGUAGGUCCCAGUGACAAGCUGGAGGUAGGGAGGCUGAUGGCGAUGGUGUUUGAGUAGCUCAGGCAUAAAGAGACGAAGGUUGAACCGGACUAGGGUUCUUGGGAAUGGGAAGGGAUGGCUGGAAGGACGGUGAAGGACUCUGUGGCAAGAGCUUGAGGGAAGGGGUGAAGGCAAGGGUGUGGAUUGGGCCUUUCCGUUCCAGAGCAGCAGCAGCACCAGAGACCAGCAUUGAGAGACACGCACUCCAAACUGUGGGUCUGACACAUGCUCAGUUGUAGCCCUGAUUCAGCACUGGAGGCCACGCGCUGGGCCACUGGGCCUGCCAGCUUCUCCUCAUGCAGAGCCGGUGUUGCACGAGGCAGGACUGAUGGUGCAAGCCGCUCUCCCCGUGUCAGCCUUGCGGGGUCCACCGGUCAGAGUGUAGCCAGGGAGACGAAAAAUCGAGUGAAUGCUGGCUUCGACUUGUGCUGUGUGGCCAUUAGGACACACUUAAGGAGCCACUAGGAAAUGGAUUGCAUCUGUGUCCUGACGGAGCUGUCUGCCCUUGACAGGCCCAGAUGAAAAGGUUGAGGCGAAAAGGGAUUACAUGACCCGUUCAAAGACCAUGAGCGGGUAAGUACAGAGAAGUAUUCAAAUCCAGGCCUGCCUGAUUUCAAAGAUCCUAUUCUUUCCAGUAUGGCAAAAACACCUUUCUGAGCACUUCUUAAAUUAUACCACGUCGGUCCUGUAUGCUCGGUCUAUGCGUGAGACCAACUCUUCUCUUUAUA